UACGGAGGGUGCGAGCGUUGUCCGGAAUCACUGGGCGUAAAGGGUGCGUAGGUGGCGGGGUAAGUCUGGUGUGAAAUCUCGGGGCUCAACCCCGAAACUGCACUGGAUACUGCCUUGCUCGAGUACUGGAGAGGAGAUUGGAAUUUACGGUGUAGCAGUGAAAUGCGUAGAUAUCGUAAGGAAGACCAGUGGCGAAGGCGAAUCUCUGGACAGUUACUGACACUGAGGCACGAAGGCCAGGGGAGCAAACGGG
rnacentral:rRNA from 1 species